rnacentral:rRNA from 1 species
GUAAUGUGAAAUUGCAGAAUUCAGUGAAUCAUUCGAAUCUUUCGAACGCACCUUGCGCCCUUUGGCUAUUCCGAAGGGCAUGCCUGUUUGAGUAUCAUG